AGAAUCAACGCUGGCGGCGUGCCUAACACAUGCAAGUCGCACGAGAAAGGGGAGCAAUCCCUGAGUACAGUGGCGCACGGGUGAGUAACACGUGAAUCAUCUACCUCCGAGUGGGGAAUAACUGAGAGAAAUCUUAGCUAAUACCGCAUAAUACCCACGGGUCAAAGCAGCAAUGCGCUUGGAGAGGAGUUCGCGGCAGAUUAGUUAGUUGGCGGGGUAAUGGCCCACCAAGACGAUGAUCUGUAUCCGGCCUGAGAGGGCGCACGGACACACUGGAACUGAAACACGGUCCAGACUCCUACGGGAGGCAGCAGUGGGGAAUUUUGCGCAAUGGGGGAACCCUGACGCAGCAACGCCGCGUGGAGGAUGAAGCCCCUUGGGGUGUAAACUCCUUUCGAUCGGGAAGAUAAUGACGGUACCGAUAUAAGAAGCCCCGGCUAACUUCGCGCCAGCAGCCGC
rnacentral:rRNA from 1 species